rnacentral:rRNA from 1 species
UGGGGAAUAUUGGUCAAUGGGCGGGAGCCUGAACCAGCCAAGCCGCGUGAGGGAUGAAGGCCCUAUGGGUCGUAAACCUCUUUUGUCAGGGAACAAAAGCGAGUAUGUAUACUGGUCUGAGUGUACCUGAAGAAAAAGCAUCGGCUAACUCCGUGCCAGCAGCCGCGGUAAUACGGAGGAUGCGAGCGUUAUCCGGAUUCAUUGGGUUUAAAGGGUGCGUAGGCGGCGGUGCAAGUCAGCGGUAAAAGCCCGGGGCUCAACCCCGGCGAGCCGUUGAAACUGCAGUGCUAGAGAAGGCGAGAGGUACGCGGAAUGCGCAGUGUAGCGGUGAAAUGCUUAGAUAUUGCGCAGAACUCCGAUUGCGAAGGCAGCGUACUGGCGCCUGACUGACGCUGAGGCACGAAAGCGUGGGGAUCGAACAGGAUUAGAUACC